GCGUAAAGGGCUCGCAGGCGGUUUCUUAAGUCUGAUGUGAAAGCCCCCGGCUCAACCGGGGAGGGUCAUUGGAAACUGGGGAACUUGAGUGCAGAAGAGGAGAGUGGAAUUCCACGUGUAGCGGUGAAAUGCGUAGAGAUGUGGAGGAACACCAGUGGCGAAGGCGACUCUCUGGUCUGUAACUGACGCUGAGGAGCGAAAGCGUGGGGAGCGAACAGGAUUAGAUACCCUGGUAGUCCACGCCGUAAACGAUGAGUGCUAAGUGUUAGGGGGUUUCCGCCCCUUAGUGCUGCAGCUAACGCAUUAAGCACUCCGCCUGGGGAGUACGGUCGCAAGACUGAAACUCAAAGGAAUUGACGGGGGCCCGCACAAGCGGUGGAGCAUGUGGUUUAAUUCGAAGCAACGCGAAGAACCUUACCAGGUCUUGACAUCCUCUGACAAUCCUAGAGAUAGGACGUCCCCUUCGGGGGCAGAGUGACAGGUGGUGCAUGGUUGUCGUCAGCUCGUGUCGUGAGAUGUUGGGUUAAGUCCCGCAACGAGCGCAACCCUUGAUCUUAGUUGCCAGCAUUCAGUUGGGCACUCUCCGGUGACUGCCGGUGACAAACCGGAGGAAGGUGGGGGAUGACG
rnacentral:rRNA from 1 species